rnacentral:rRNA from 2 species
GCAAACUACGAAUACCGAAGAAUGUUAUCACGGGAGACACACGGCGGGUGCUAACGUCCGUCGUGAAGAGGGAAACAACCCAGACCGCCAGCUAAGGUCCCAAAGUCAUGGUUAAGUGGGAAACGAUGUGGGAAGGCACAGACAGCCAGGAUGUUGGCUUAGAAGCAGCCAUCAUUUAAAGAAAGCGUAAUAGCUCACUGGUCGAGUCGGCCUGCGCGGAAGAUGUAACGGGGCUAAACCAUGCACCGAAGCUGCGGCAGCGACACUAUGUGUUGUUGGGUAGGGGAGCGUUCUGUAAGCCGUUGAAGGUGUGCUGUGAGGCAUGCUGGAGGUAUCAGAAGUGCGAAUGCUGACAUAAGUAACGAUAAAGCGGGUGAAAAGCCCGCUCGCCGGAAGACCAAGGGUUCCUGUCCAACGUUAAUCGGGGCAGGGUGAGUCGACCCCUAAGGCGAGGCCGAAAGGCGUAGUCGAUGGGAAACAGGUUAAUAUUCCUGUACUUGGUGUUACUGCGAAGGGGGGACGGAGAAGGCUAUGUCAGCCGGGCGACGGUUGUCCCGGUUUAAGCAUGUAGGCGGAGGUUCCAGGUAAAUCCGGUACCUUAUUAACGCUGAGGUGUGAUGACGAGGCACUACGGUGCUGAAGUGAUAAAUGCCCUGCUUCCAGGAAAAGCCUCUAAGCAUCAGGUAACACGAAAUCGUACCCCAAACCGACACAGGUGGUCAGGUAGAGAAUACCAAGGCGCUUGAGAGAACUCGGGUGAAGGAACUAGGCAAAAUGGUGCCGUAACUUCGGGAGAAGGCACGCUGAUAUGUAGGUGAAGCCCCUGCGGGCGGAGCUGAAAUCAGUCGAAGAUACCAGCUGGCUGCAACUGUUUAUUAAAAACACAGCACUGUGCAAACACGAAAGUGGACGUAUACGGUGUGACGCCUGCCCGGUGCCGGAAGGUUAAUUGAUGGGGUUAGCGGCAACGCGAAGCUCUUGAUCGAAGCCCCGGUAAACGGCGGCCGUAACUAUAACGGUCCUAAGGUAGCGAAAUUCCUUGUCGGGUAAGUUCCGACCUGCACGAAUGGCGUAAUGAUGGCCAGGCUGUCUCCACCCGAGACUCAGUGAAAUUGAACUCGCUGUGAAGAUGCAGUGUACCCGCGGCAAGACGGAAAGACCCCGUGAACCUUUACUAUAGCUUGACACUGAACACUGGUCCUUGAUGUGUAGGAUAGGUGGGAGGCUUUGAAGCGUGGACGCCAGUCUGCGUGGAGCCAACCUUGAAAUACCACCCUUUAAUGGCUGGUGUUCUAACGUGGACCCGUAAUCCGGGUUGCGGACAGUGUCUGGUGGGUAGUUUGACUGGGGCGGUCUCCUCCCAAAGAGUAACGGAGGAGCACGAAGGUUGGCUAAUCCUGGUCGGACAUCAGGAGGUUAGUGCAAUGGCAUAAGCCAGCUUGACUGCGAGCGUGACGGCGCGAGCAGGUGCGAAAGCAGGUCAUAGUGAUCCGGUGGUUCUGAAUGGAAGGGCCAUCGCUCAACGGAUAAAAGGUACUCCGGGGAUAACAGGCUGAUACCGCCCAAGAGUUCAUAUCGACGGCGGUGUUUGGCACCUCGAUGUCGGCUCAUCACAUCCUGGGGCUGAAGUAGGUCCCAAGGGUAUGGCUGUUCGCCAUUUAAAGUGGUACGCGAGCUGGGUUUAGAACGUCGUGAGACAGUUCGGUCCCUAUCUGCCGUGGGCGCUGGAGAAUUGAGGGGGGCUGCUCCUAGUACGAGAGGACCGGAGUGGACGCAUCACUGGUGUUCGGGUUGUCAUGCCAAUGGCACUGCCCGGUAGCUAAAUGCGGAAGAGAUAAGUGCUGAAAGCAUCUAAGCACGAAACUUGCCCCGAGAUGAGUUCUCCCUGAGACUUUAAGUCUCCUGAAGGAACGUUGAAGACGACGACGUUGAUAGGUCGGGUGUGUAAGCGCAGCGAUGCGUUGAGCUAACCGAUACUAAUGAACCGUGAGGCUUAACCUU